GCCCGGCUUCUCCAGCUCUCCUGCUCCUCUGCUGCCUUCGUUUCUGGUCCACCCGCCCGGAAGAGUCCACUUCUUCCGGUCCACCCGCCCGGAAGAAGUCCUUGCUCCUGCCAAGAAGCCGCUCUCCGCUGGCCCGCAGCCGCCGCGACUUCGGCACAGUCUGCCUGUGCCUGGUCUCCCAAACGACCGCUCCUCGCCCUCGGAAGACCGGGCUGCAACCGCGAACGCCUGAUCUACUCUGGGGGCCGCCGCGAGCGCCCGGCGACCACGCCCCGCGACCACACCUCGGCGGUUCUCCGCCCAUCGCGCCUACCUUUGCCGCCCGCCCUCGCUCCUUGCCCGCUCCACGACGACGCGACGCCCUCGCUGCUGGCAGCGGACCCGGACCCGGACCCGGACGCAAGAUGGCGACUGCUGCGUGACUGCCUCAGCGUCCCUGAGCUCGGCCCCGAGUGCGUCCACGGACUGACUGUGGGGGCAGGGAAGGGUGAAAUCAGGACUCUGUGUCUUUGUUAAUCGUGACUGCGUGAAGCUCGCCUCCCUUGGGCCUACUUGAGGGGAGUGUCUGGCGUUGUUCUAAGGCCAGGAGCACGGUGAGCCACUGUCUGUUGAUAGAAUUGGUGUCUUGAUAGUUGAGAAAAUGGCGAUGAUACUGUUGGAAGACUGGUGCUGGGGAAUGGAUGUGAACUCCCAGAGAGCUCUGUUGGUCUGGGGCGUCCCAGUGAACUGAGAUGAGGCUGAAAUCCAAGAGACCCUCCAGGCUGCGAUGCCCCAGGUGCCCUACCGAGUGCUUGGGAGAAUGUUCUGGAGGGAAGAAAAUGCGAAAGCAGGCUUAUUAGAGCUCACUAGCGCUGUCAAUUACGCCAUGAUCCCCAGGGAGAUGCCGGGCAAAGGAGGAGUCUGGAAAGUGUUCUUUAAGCCCCCCGACUUCCGAUGUUGAAUUUUUAGAAAGACUGCACCUCUUCCUAGCUAGAGAGGGCUGGACCGUGCAGGAUGUCCUCUGUGUCCUUGGGUUUCAGAACCCUACCCCGACCCGGGUCCCAGAGAGAUGCCAGCAGAGAUGCUAAACUAUAUUUUGGAUAAUGUUAUUCAGCCUCUUGUUGAGUCCAUAUGGUACAAGAAGCUGACACUUUUCUCGGGGAGGGACAUCCCAGGGCCUGGAGAGGAAACCUUUGAUCCCUGGCUGGAGCACACUAAUGAGGUCCUGGAGGAGUGGCAGGUGCCGGAUACAGAAAAGAGGCGGCGGUUGAUGGAGCGUCUUAGAGGCCCCUCCGCUGAUGUCAUUCGAAUCCUCAAGACCAACAACCCCGUGAUAACUACUGCCGAAUGCCUGCAGGCUCUUGAGCACGUGUUUGGGAGUGUUGAGAGCUCUAGGGAUGCCCAGGUCAAAUUUCUGAACAUUUAUCAGAACCCGGGAGAAAAGUUGUCUGCUUAUGUCAUUCAUUUGGAGCCUCUGCUACAGAAGGUGGUGGAGAAGGGGGCCAUUGAUAAAGAUAAUGUGAACCACGCUUGUCUAGAGCAGGUCAUUUCCGGGGCCAACCAAAGUGGGGCCAUCCAAAGGCAGCUGUGGCUUAACAGGGCUGGGGAAGGACCGGCCCCAAACCUCUUUGAGUUGCUGGUGCAGAUCCGUGAGGAGGAAGCCAAGGAAGAGGAGGAGGAGGCUGAGGCCACCCUUCUGCAGUUAGGCCUGGAAGGGCACUUUUGAGUCCCAGGAAAGGCAGCUUUAGUGCAGACCUAGAUCACAGCUACUGUCCUUGUCCCUGUGGGGUCUUACAAUGUGUCUGAGUAGGAAAGUCUUAGUCCUGUUACGUUUGUUUUUGGAGGGCAGGAUUACUCAGGCCUGAGUAUUCAUGUAACAUUCUAAAAUUGGGCAUGCAAGCACUGUGAGCUGCUAGCGGAUCUUGCUGGCUACAAUGCCAGGUAAAGGGCUGGUUGGACAUAGCGCUUAGUGCAUGCCGUCAGCAUGGCCAUCAUAAUCAGUUGUGAAAAACACGCGAACUUGUGACACUUCCUAUUCCACAUUGAAUGUGAAAUUGCAUGUUCAGAUGUUUACUGCGGGGCCUAGCUCACAGGAAUUGUUCAGUAAAAGUGUGAACUGUUAGAUUACUGAUAUUGUGGAUAGAUUUUUGUUUUCCAUAAAUUGUUCCAGAUUUUAUUAAUGGAAGGAAAUGUGCAUUUAUUUAGUUAUGACUCAACUUUACAAUGUAAACAUAUUAUUUCUCAUCUUUAAACAUGUGGAUCAGUUUAACUGAAAAGUAUUCUGAGACUGCAAAAUGGGGUGUUAAAAAAUACUGCAGUUAUGGAGCUGUGUAACCCAUUUUUUCACUGCAUAAGAUACAGAUGUAAAUUGCAUGGAAGAGGUUGAUGUGCACCUGUUAGAGUAAUUCACUGCCCCAAUUUCAAAUCUUUGUCAGAAAAUAGUUCUUGUUCAUACUGAUUCUGAGUGUUCUAAAUUUGAAGUUACAUACACAAAUAAAAAUGUUUUUUGAAAAAAAAAAAAAGACAUUAGUUUCAUGGGCCUUAUAAAAGCAGCAUUGCAUUGAUAUUUAAUACUAGGCCAUGAUUGAAACUGCUUCAGAAGACAUCAUGAUCAACUACAUACAGAGUAAUGGCAAGUUUACUAUAAAAUUAACAUCCUCAGUUGUCACAAGAAAUCUGACAAUCACUAGAAUGGCAAAGCACUGUGUUCUAUUUAUGUCCUUUUCAAACAUGAUUGAUAAGAAUUUGUUACCUUAUUAGUAUGUCAUAAGUAGUCAGCAAAGUCCAUCUUAAAAUUUGAAAAUUAUUAUUUUCUGCUCACGUUCAACUUUCAGCAAUGUACACAGUGAUAGUAAUGAAAGCAGCCAUUAGAAUACUCUAUUUUCUUUAUAGUGAGCUGCCAAAUACGUUUUUUCUAUCCAGAUCAUACUUACAUUGCUUUUGUGCCUUUGGUCAUAGUCAUAGUACACAGAGGAAGCAGGGUAGUGACAGCUAUACAUUUUUCUACAGAAGAUCAGCUAUUAAAUCAAGAACCAAGAGAAUCACCUCAGCCUGGACACCGAGAACCAAAGCCACAUCUUGCCACUGAUAUUAAUAUAACUUUGUUAUUCUACUGUUCCAUUAGUAUUACUUUUCAAGGACUGUCCUACCUCCAGAAUGGUUUGAUUUUUUAUUAUAGGAACUUCCCAAAUGCUUUAUCAACUCUUCCGGGGAAGGUAUAGACCAAGUUUGCAGCCUGAGUCUUUGAAUUCUUCCCCUCAAAUCCUCACUUCACUAUUUUCACUAAGGCCAGACUGUUGUAUAAUGAUUCUUACACAAUUCUAAUCAAAUCCUCUCCUUCAGGGACCCAUCUUAAACUAAACAUGCAAUUCUCAAUAAAUUCUGAUCUCCCCUUCUCUCCUCUGGGAUGCUGCUAGAAAUUUACAAAGGCUGCAAUCUCUCUUUUGCCGCAGUGUAUUAGUUUUCUAUUGCUGCUGUAACAAUUUACCACAAACAGUGUUGUAAACAAGCCAGACUUGUUAUCCUACAGUCCUCUUGGUCAGAAGUUUGAUGUGAGUCUUACUGAACUUUAGUUCAGUGCAUCAGCAGGCUUGAGUUUCUUCCUGCAGGCUCUGGGCUUCUGUUUCUUUGACUUUUCCAGCAUCUAGAGGCUGCCUGCUAUCCUUAGCUCCUGGCCCCUUCCUCCAACUUCACAGUCAGCAAUGACAGGCUGGGAGGCCUUCUCACACUGCCUUCUCUUUGGUUCUUUCUCUUCUGCCUCCCCCUCCCUCUUAAAUCACAAAUUUAAGAAUUUGUGAUUCGGCUUAUCUGGAUAAUCCAAGAUAAUCUCUCUAUUUCAAAGUGAGUUAACAACUUUAAUUCUAUCUGUGGCCUUAAUUUCCAUUUUUCAUAUAAGUUCACAUAUUCACAUAUUCCAGAGAUGUGUGUGGACAUCUUUGAGAGGUCAUUAUUUUUUUGCCACAUAGGUAAGCAAUAAACUUUGCAAUAAAUAAGCAAUCAGCUUUGUCUCAUCAACACGUUAUGUUGGUGAUAUUUGGAGAUCCAGCUUUGACAAGCAAUUAGCACCAACAUGACCUACUUGCAGAAGCUUGUCAUAGCUAUUUUUCUAAAUAUGAUAAUAGAUUAAUGUAAUAAUCCAAGCCAAGAAUUAUGACAUUUUAAACGCAGAGACACUCUUACUCCUAAAAUGUCUUCAAAUAGACAUUAACAUACAAAUAUUUUAAUUAGAUUCUUUUAAAUUCUUAAGCUGUAACCCAAAAGUGGAGUUGAAAUCUCAAGUGACAAUAACACACAAAUGGGGGUUCUACUCAGCACUUCCAGGCACACCCCCCCAAUAUAUAUAAACUCUAUACAAAAGCAUAUUUGGAAGUGAAUUCAUUGUUCAUAAGUAGUUGUGGAGAGAUAGAAAACAGACUUUACAUUUCACGUUCAAUAAAACCCCCACAGAAUGUCAAUUCUUAUUAUUCAUGGAUUUUUAUGUUCAAAUCCAUCUUCUUGCUAAAAUGUAGUUAUAUUUGCAAAUUCACCCACCUGCUAAAAUUUAUUUAUAAUCCCAAAAUUCACACUCACAGCACCUUUGCUGUCAUACACAGACUGGCCAAAAAUUUCACUCUCCCAACUUUCAAGUUCCCAGCUGAUGUUGAACAAAACUAUGCUCUGCCUUCUUGUUUUGGCUCUCAUACUAAAACCAAGCGUCCUUUUCACAAUCCAUUUAGGGCCAUGUUUUUCAUAUUUUUGUGCUUUUUUGGUGAUUUUGAUGUUUACAAUGGCCCCCAAGCAUAGUGCUAAGGUGCUCUCAAAGCACAAGAAGCCUGUGAUGUGCAUUAUGAAGAAAAUACACAUGUGAGAUGAACUUUUGUUCAGAUAUGACCUGUAAUGCCACUGGCUGUAAGUUCAAUGCUGAUGAAUAAAUUUUAUACAUUAAAUAA